rnacentral:tRNA from 1 species
GGGGAUGUAGCUCAGCCUGGUAGAGCGUACGGUUCGCAUCCGUGAGGUCGAGAGUUCGAGUCUCUUCAUCUCCACCA